rnacentral:lncRNA from 1 species
UGCCUAAAAGACAUAAACAGCUAAAUAUUGGAUGCUUUAUCGAAGAUAAGUUGUAAAGGAUAAGAGUCAAUAUCAAACAAGAAAAGUUCCUCAAAAAAGGCAUCAAACAGGCAUAAGGAACAUAUCAUGAAAAACAUGAGGAUAUUCUAACGAUAUAUGUAAUAUACCACCAAACAUGAUUGUAUAAAAUCGGUUAAACAAAGGUAAAGCAUCGUCCGAUUGCUAUAGAACCAAAUAAAAUAAUUAACUAUGGUAGAUUUGGAAAUCAAAUGCUUUUGGACUACUUCUGCACUCCGAUGCUCAAGAAAUGGAAUGAUUUUGGCUCUUCUAUUUGUUUCUUGUGGAAGGUAAAAACAGUCUCAUUCCUAUACAACCAAACAAAACAAGUAACUACUGUAGAUUAUGGAAAUCAAAUGCUUCUAAACUACUUCUACACUUCGAUGCUCAAGAAAAAAAAUUGGAAUCCUUUUCUCUCCUGUGUUAUUUCUUGUGCAAGGUAAGCAAUGAAUAUUGGUUUUCUUUUGCAAUUUACUUGAGACCAUCUAUAAACAUUUAGUCAAUGUAAAAAGUCAAAGAACAAAGAGGUUUGCACACAUCUAUAAACAGAACAUACAAUUGAUGAGUUCUAGAUUAAGAGAUCACUGAAAGUAAAUGAUUGGAGACCUUGUCCAAGGGAGCAAGUAUAUUCGUUCCACCUCCCGCAAUGUAAGCAAUGAAUAUUUCUUGUGCAAGGUAAGCAAUGAAUAUUGGUUUUCUUUUGCAAUUUACUUGAUACCAUCUAUAAACAUUUAGUCAAUGUAAAAAGUCAAAGAACAAAGAGGUUUGCACACAUCUAUAAACAGAACAUACAAUUGAUGAGUUCUAGAUUAAGAGAUCACUGAAAGUAAAUGAUUGGAGACCUUGUCCAAGAAGGAAGUAUAUUCGUUCCACCUCCCGCAAUGUAAGCAAUGAAUAUUUCUUGUGCAAGGUAAGCAAUGAAUAUUGGUUUUCUUUUGCAAUUUACUUGAUACCAUCUAUAAACAUUUAGUCAAUGUAAAAAGUCAAAGAACAAAGAGGUUUGCACACAUCUAUAAACAGAACAUACAAUUGAUGAAUUCCAGAUUAAGAGAUCACUGAAAGUAAAUGAUUGGAGACCUUG